CAAUAGCGUAUAUUUAAGUUGUUGCAGUUAAAAAGCUCGUAGUUGGAUUUCGGUUAAGAGCGACCGGUCCGCCGUUUGGUGUGCACUGGUUGGUUUUAACUUCCUGUAGAGGACGUGCUCUGGGUUUAACGACCUGGACUCGGAGUCUACGUGGUUACUUUGAAAAAAUUAGAGUGUUCAAAGCGGGCUUACGCUUGAAUAUUUCAGCAUGGAAUAACACUAUAGGACUCCUGUCCUAUUUCGUUGGUCUCGGGACGGGAGUAAUGAUUAAGAGGAACAGUUGGGGGCAUUCGUAUUUCAUUGUCAGAGGUGAAAUUCUUGGAUUUAUGAAAGACGAACUUCUGCGAAAGCAUUUGUCAAGGAUGUUUNCAUUAA
rnacentral:rRNA from 1 species